AUGUGCACAACUCUGGAAAGCGCUGAUAAAGAAAUAAGCCAUAGCAACUGCGAAUCAAACAAGGAAGUGGACCAUGUAAACCAUGAAAGCGCAAAACCUGUAAUGUGUGAUGAAUCUGAAAAGGAACAGCCGACAGUCCACAUGAGUCAAGCCUCAGGUCAGUCUCCGGCCUUGUCCGCACACCCACACAAUGCGUGCCACACAGACCAGGUUGGAAAACAUUUGAGUUCUGUGGGAGUUGAGUCUACAGUCUCCUCUCCAAAAGACACAAUGUUAGAGAAAAGUCAAAUUCCACAAAAAGAUGAUGCACUGCUUUGCACUGUAGCACAGGAACAGAGAACCUCACGCGCAGAGGAAAGUAUGGGGUUGUCGGUACCACAAACAUUAUCUGAUGAACACAAACCUGGCCCUGCAAAUGUCACUUUGCAAUGUCAGGGAAACAGUGGGAGGACUAAUUGUGAAGAGAACUGUGCAAAGUUUGGAGAUGAAGACAAUCUGUGCUUUGGAAAUUCAAAUAAAUCAGUCGCCAGAAGCAAUCUUCAACUGUCCAUGGUGUCCCUCAGUUUAUCUCAAACAAACCCGGCCUCUGGAAUGGUGGGACUGUCUGAUGGGCCAACUCUGUCACAUGUAGCUGACUCAAAACAAACUGCAUCUGUAGCUUCAGCGCCUACAAAAGCACCCGCAGCCACAGCUUCAAAAACGGUACCAGACCACACUACAGGGAGUAGCGAGGAAAGCUCUCUGGUUGGAAGUGCGGAGCUGCAGUCAGACACUGGGGCCCUGCAGCAGCAGUGUGGGCAAAGCCAUGAGCCUCCGGCGACAUCUACAGAGAGCUUGACUUACAUGCAACUGGACAACAUGCAGGCACAGGAGGCCGGUGACAGGACAAAUUCCAUUCCAAACUGCUGGCCAUUGGAGCAGCAACAUCUUCUGCACCUUUCCCAGACUCGAUCAGGAAUGUGUGGGUACCCACCACAGAGCUCUGGCAUGGAUCCAAACCUACAGUCCAGCAGCCAUCACUUCAGCGAUCCCCAACCAACCUUGCUGCUAAAGACUAACUCCCAUAUGACACAGCACACAGAAAGUGGCUCGUAUACAAGUCACAUAAAUCCAAAUGAACCACCCCAAAGUAAGACCAUGAUUGGAUGUCAGGAUGGAUUUGUACAGUCUCAAAAGCUAGACCAAAGACAGGUUUGUGGAGCUGGGAAUACCAUUGUAAACUCUGGUACGACUUACUUGACAACAGCGUUUACGUCUCAAAGCCAUAUCAAUGAAAAGCCAGGUACUUAUCAGUCCAAUUGUUCAGUAUUUGUUAACCCGCCAAGGCAGACCAAUGUUGUAUACCCUGAGCACAUGUGCCAAGAGGAGCCACCAGAGCCAUGUGACAGAUUCCCGCCCUUGUUUGGAGUGGGUAAUUCGUUCAGUUACUCCCAUGACAGCCUGAGUGGUGCAGUCAGGGUGGUGCAGAGUAGUAUAGAUGCGGAGGACAGCAGCAGUGAUGAUGAAGGGAAACUCAUCAUCGAGCUAUAGGAUAUGACAAUCAAUAAGUCAGUAUUUAUUUACAGGCCCGUGAGGCAGCUGGAUCGCAUUGUGUGUAAAUAUAUACAUAUAUAUUAUUUAUUUGCAUACUUGUUCACUGCAAAUAUUUCAAAAAUAUUUUCUCUUUCACACAUGUCUUUCGAAAAAGUAAGAAAUGUGCCCCGGUCAUAAACAUGCUUUGUCAGUUCUGCAAGUUAUUCGCCAACAUGCCAUUUUUAGUGUUGUAUUAUUUGCUUCAUGUAACCAUGGUGUCUUUACGCAAUUAUUACAGUAUUUACCUGGCUUUUCUGCACAAAUACACCUUUUUAUGAUUUAGUUAUACACAUUCGGUCAAACAGAACAUAAGUAAAUGAUUAUACAAACCUGAGACUGUUUUGCAUCAUUAUUUUUCCCAUAUGUCUAAUUCUCUUUUGGGUUUUCUGUUUGUGCUUGUUGUAUGUCAUUAAUUCUUGUGACUUUAGUACAUUGUUUAAAAAAAUAAAGUUAAAGUAAAAGUUUGAAUUAUUUUUUUCUGUGCAAACUAAUCCAUUGUAACCC
ensembl:lncRNA